GACGAACGCUGGCGGCGUGCUUAACACAUGCAAGUCGAACGAGAAAGCCCUUCGGGGUAAGUACAGUGGCGAACGGGUGAGUAACACGUGGGCAACCUGCCCCAGAGAGCGGGACAACCCGGGGAAACCCGGGCUAAUACCGCAUGAUGCGUCUCCACUUAAGUGGAGCCGCCAAAUGGUAGCUUCGGCCUCCGCUCUGGCAUGGGCCCGCGCCGGAUUAGCUAGUUGGUUGGGGUAACGGCCCACCAAGGCGACGAUCCGUAGCUGGUCUGAGAGGACGAUCAGCCACACUGGGACUGAGACACGGCCCAGACUCCUACGGGAGGCAGCAGUGGGGAAUCUUGCGCAAUGGGCGAAAGCCUGAUCCAGCCAUGCCGCGUGAGUGAAGAAGGCCUUCGGGUUGUAAAGCUCUUUCGCGAGGGAAGAAAACGCAACGGAUAAUACCUGUUGUGGAUGACGGUACCUUGAUAAGAAGCACCGGCUAACUACGUGCCAGCAGCCGCGGUAA
rnacentral:rRNA from 1 species